CCAGUGCUUGAAGUGCGCAGCCUGAUCAGCCUGCCGCGUGAGUGAUGAAGGCCUUCGGGUUGUAAAGCUCUUUUAAUUACAGGGAAAAAGCCUGUACGUGGAUCAGUUGGCCCGGAAGUCUCCAAGCCAGCACCCCCGGUUUUACUCCAUGCC
rnacentral:rRNA from 1 species